GAAUACGACCAUACUAGUACAAAAGCACCGCUUCCCGUCCGAUCAGCGAAGUUAAACGUACUUAGGCCUAGUUAGUAAUGGAAUGGGAAACCAGCUGUGAACUCUAGGUGUUGUAUUCU